AGCAUGUAGGCUGAUUGUCCAGGCAAAUCCGGAUAAUCAAGGCUGAGGUGUGAUGACGAGGCACUACGGUGCUGAAGUAACAAAUGCCCUGCUUCCAGGAAAAGCCUCUAAGCAUCAGGUAACAUUAAAUCGUACCCCAAACCGACACAGGUGGUCAGGUAGAGAAUACCAAGGCGCUUGAGAGAACUCGGGUGAAGGAACUAGGCAAAAUGGUGCCGUAACUUCGGGAGAAGGCACGCUGGUGUGUAGGUGAAGUCCCUGCGGAUGGAGCUGAGACCAGUCGAAGAUACCAGCUGGCUGCAACUGUUUAUUAAAAACACAGCACUGUGCAAACACGAAAGUGGACGUAUACGGUGUGACGCCUGCCCGGUGCCGGAAGGUUAAUUGAUGGGGUUAUCCGUAAGGAGAAGCUCUUGAUCGAAGCCCCGGUAAACGGCGGCCGUAACUAUAACGGUCCUAAGGUAGCGAAAUUCCUUGUCGGGUAAGUUCCGACCUGCACGAAUGGCGUAAUGAUGGCCAGGCUGUCUCCACCCGAGACUCAGUGAAAUUGAACUCGCUGUGAAGAUGCAGUGUACCCGCGGCAAGACGGAAAGACCCCGUGAACCUUUACUAUAGCUUGACACUGAACAUUGAGCCUUGAUGUGUAGGAUAGGUGGGAGGCUUUGAAGCGUGGACGCCAGUCUGCGUGGAGCCAACCUUGAAAUACCACCCUUUAAUGUUUGAUGUUCUAACGUUGGCCCCUGACCGGGGUUGCGGACAGUGUCUGGUGGGUAGUUUGACUGGGGCGGUCUCCUCCCAAAGCGUAACGGAGGAGCACGAAGGUUAGCUAAUCCUGGUCGGACAUCAGGAGGUUAGUGCAAUGGCAUAAGCUAGCUUGACUGCGAGCGUGACGGCGCGAGCAGGUGCGAAAGCAGGUCAUAGUGAUCCGGUGGUUCUGAAUGGAAGGGCCAUCGCUCAACGGAUAAAAGGUACUCCGGGGAUAACAGGCUGAUACCGCCCAAGAGUUCAUAUCGACGGCGGUGUUUGGCACCUCGAUGUCGGCUCAUCACAUCCUGGGGCUGAAGUAGGUCCCAAGGGUAUGGCUGUUCGCCAUUUAAAGUGGUACGCGAGCUGGGUUUAGAACGUCGUGAGACAGUUCGGUCCCUAUCUGCCGUGGGCGCUGGAGAAUUGAGGGGGGCUGCUCCUAGUACGAGAGGACCGGAGUGGACGCAUCACUGGUGUUCGGGUUGUCAUGCCAAUGGCACUGCCCGGUAGCUAAAUGCGGAAGAGAUAAGUGCUGAAAGCAUCUAAGCACGAAACUUGCCCCGAGAUGAGUUCUCCCUGAGACUUUAAGUCUCCUGAAGGAACGUUAAAGACGAUGACGUUGAUAGGCCGGGUGUGUAAGCGCAGCGAUGCGUUGAGCUAACCGGUACUAAUGAACCGUGAGGCUUAACCUU
rnacentral:rRNA from 1 species